rnacentral:rRNA from 1 species
UGAACCUUAGUGGAGACACUUUGGGCUCUUCGGAGCGUAGGACACAGGUGCUGCAUGGCUGUCGUCAGCUCGUGUCGUGAGAUGUUGGGUUAAGUCCCGCAACGAGCGCAACCUCGCCUUUAGUUGCCAUCAUUUAGUUGGGCACUCUAAAGGGACUGCCAGUGAUAAGCUGGAGGAAGGUGGGGAUGACGUCAAGUCCUCAUGGCCCUUACGGGCUGGGCUACACACGUGCUACAAUGGUGGUGACAGUGGGCAGCGAACACGCGAGUGUAAGCUAAUCUCCAAAAGCCAUCUCAGUUCGGAUUGCACUCUGCAACUCGAGUGCAUGAAGUUGGAAUCGCUAGUAAUCGCGGAUCAGAAUGCCGCGGUGAAUACGUUCCCGGGCCUUGUACACACCGCCCGUCACACCAUGGGAGUUGGUUUUACCCGAAGGCGCUGUGCUAACCGCAAGGAGGCAGGCGACCACGGUAGGGUCAGCGACUGGGGUGAAGUCGUAACAAGGUAAGCGUAGUGCU